rnacentral:piRNA from 1 species
GCCCAACCAUCAUACUUUCUGAGCUAAACU